rnacentral:rRNA from 1 species
UGAACGCUGGCGGCAUGCUUUACACAUGCAAGUCGGACGGCAGCACAGAGAAGCUUGCUUCUUGGGUGGCGAGUGGCGAACGGGUGAGUAACAUAUCGGAACGUACCGAGCAGUGGGGGAUAACUAAUCGAAAGAUUAGCUAAUACCGCAUAUAUUCUGAGGAAGAAAGCAGGGGACCAUUUGGCCUUGCGCUGUUUGAGCGGCCGAUAUCUGAUUAGCUAGUUGGUGGGGUAAAGGCCUACCAAGGCGACGAUCAGUAGCGGGUCUGAGAGGAUGAUCCGCCACACUGGGACUGAGACACGGCCCAGACUCCUACGGGAGGCAGCAGUGGGGAAUUUUGGACAAUGGGCGCAAGCCUGAUCCAGCCAUGCCGCGUGUCUGAAGAAGGCCUUCGGGUUGUAAAGGACUUUUGUCAGGGAAGAAAAGGGCGGGGUUAAUACCCCUGUCUGA